AGAGUUUGAUCAUGGCUCAGAGCGAACGCUGGCGGCAGGCCUAACACAUGCAAGUCGAACGGACUCUUCGGAGUUAGUGGCGGACGGGUGAGUAACACGUGGGAACGUGCCUUUAGGUUCGGAAUAAGCUCGGGAAACUGGGUCUAAUACCGAAUGUGCCCUUCGGGGGAAAGAUUUAUCGCCUUUAGAGCGGCCCGCGUCUGAUUAGCUAGUUGGUGGUGUAAUGGACCACCAAGGCGACGAUCAGUAGCUGGUCUGAGAGGAUGACCAGCCACAUUGGGACUGAGACACGGCCCAAACUCCUACGGGAGGCAGCAGUGGGGAAUCUUGCGCAAUGGGCGAAAGCCUGACGCAGCCAUGCCGCGUGUAUGAUGAAGGUCUUAGGAUUGUAAAAUACUUUCACCGGUGAAGAUAAUGACUGUAGCCGGAGAAGAAGCCCCGGCUAACUUCGUGCCAGCAGCCGCGGUAAUACGAAGGGGGCUAGCGUUGCUCGGAAUUACUGGGCGUAAAGGGAGCGUAGGCGGACAUUUAAGUCAGGGGUGAAAUCCCAGAGCUCAACUCUGGAACUGCCUUUGAUACUGGGUGUCUUGAGUGUGAUAGAGGUAUGUGGAACUCCGAGUGUAGAGGUGAAAUUCGUAGAUAUUCGGAAGAACACCAGUGGCGAAGGCGACAUACUGGAUCAUUACUGACGCUGAGGCUCGAAAGCGUGGGGAGCAAACAGGAUUAGAUACCCCGGUAGUCC
rnacentral:rRNA from 1 species